rnacentral:rRNA from 1 species
UCGGGAAUAUUGCGCAAUGGAGGAAACUCUGACGCAGUGACGCCGCGUAUAGGAAGAAGGUUUUCGGAUUGUAAACUAUUGUCGUUAGGGAAGAAAAAAGACAGUACCUAAGGAGGAAGCUCCGGCUAACUUCGUGCCAGCAGCCGCGGUAAUACGUAGGGAGCAAGCGUUAUCCGGAUUUAUUGGGUGUAAAGGGUGCGUAGACGGGCGAUCAAGUUAGUUGUGAAAUCCCUCGGCUCAACUGAGGAACUGCAACUAAAACUGGUUGUCUUGAGUGCAGGAGAGGUAAGUGGAAUUCCUAGUGUAGCGGUGAAAUGCGUAGAUAUUAGGAGGAACACCAGUGGCGAAGGCGACUUACUGGACUGUAACUGACGUUGAGGCACGAAAGUGUGGGGAGCAAACAGGAUUAGAUACC